rfam:Plasmodium inui San Antonio 1 unplaced genomic scaffold supercont1.35, whole genome shotgun sequence.
CAACCUUAACGAUGGAUGUCUUGGUUCCUACGGCGAAGAAGGCCGCAAUUAAAAGCGAUACAUGUGACACGUAAUUUGUGAAUAAUCGAAAUCGUAUAUAUUCUCCGUGAAUCAUCUAUUAAGCCGAAUGCAAUAAUGAAUGAGUGCUC